rnacentral:rRNA from 1 species
UUGUUUGUGUGGGCGCUCGGUGGAUGCCUUGGCACCAGGGGCCGAUGAAGGACGUGGUGGCCUGCGAUAAUCCUCGGGGAGCCGGCUGGCGGGCUGUGAUCCGGGGGUCUCCGAAUGGGGUGACCUGGCACGAGCUGUGUCGUGCCACCCGUGCGUGGGCGUGUGCCUGUGCGUGGGGGGUGACGCGGGGAAGUGAAACAUCUCAGUACCCGCAGGAGAGGAUAUUCCGUGAGUAGUGGCGAGCGAAAGCGGAGGAGGGCCAAACCGUGCGCGUGCGUUGACCCGGCAGGGGCUGCGCGUGCGGGGUUGUGGGGCCUGGCCGUGGCUCUUCUGCCGGAGGGCCGCGUUGUGCUCGUGCUGGUAGCCGAGUCCUCUGGGAAGGGGAGGCGUAGAGGGUGAGACCCCCGUAGGCUAAGCCGGCCGGGCGCGCGUGGGCCGGGUUCCCGUGGUAGCACGGGGUCCGUGGAGUCCUGUGCGAGUCUGCCAAGACCGCUUGGCUGCCUGAAUACCUCCUGGUGACCGAUAGCGGACCAGUACCGUGAGGGAAUGGUGAAAAGUACCCCGGGAGGGGAGUGAAACAGUACCUGAAACCGGGCGCCUGCAAGCCGUCAGAGCCUCCUGCCCGCGGGGUGGGGGGUGGUGGCGUGCCUUUUGAAGAAUGAGCCUGCGAGUCAGUGGCGCGUCGCGAGGUUAACCCGUGGGGGGCAGCCGUAGCGAGAGCGAGUCCUGUCAGGGGCGGUUGAGUGGCGCGUCGUGGACCCGAAGCGGGGUGAUCUACCCAUGGCCAGGUUGAGGCGCGUGUAAGAGCGCGUGGAGGACCGCACCCACCUGGGUUGAAAACCGGGGGGAUGAGCUGUGGGUAGGGGUGAAAGGCCAAUCAGACUCCGUGAUAGCUGGUUCUCCCCGAAAUGCAUUUUGGUGCAGCGUCGCGUGGUUCCCGGCGGAGGUAGAGCUACUGGGUGGCUGAUGGGCCCCACAGGGUUACUGAGGUCAGCCAAACUCCGAAUGCCGUCGGGGUGGAGCGCGGCAGUGAGACCGCGGGGGAUAAGCUCCGUGGUCGAGAGGGAAACAGCCCAGACCGCCGGCUAAGGCCCCUAAGCGCGCGCUAAGUGGGAAAGGAUGUGCGGCCGCGCAGACAACCAGGAGGUUGGCUUAGAAGCAGCCAUCCUCGAAGGAGUGCGUAACAGCUCACUGGUCAAGUGGUCGUGCGCCGACAAUGUAGCGGGGCUCAAGCGCGCCGCCGAAGCCGCGGGCCCGUCGCGUGGUCCCUACUGUCCUGUCCUGGUGGGCGGGGUGGUCAGGGGCGGCGGGUGGUAGGGGAGCGUCCCGCACGGGGUGAAGCCUCGGGGUGACCCAGGGGUGGACGGUGCGGGAGCGAGGAUGCAGGCAUGAGUAGCGAUACUAGGGUGGGAAGCCCUAGCGCCGAAUGACCAAGGGUUCCAGGGCCAGGCUAGUCCGCCCUGGGUGAGUCGGGGCCUAAGGCGAGGCCGACAGGCGUAGUCGAUGGACGACGGGUUGAUACUCCCGUACCGGCCUGGUACCGACCGUGCUGACGCGCGGGUGCUGACCUGUCCUCCUGGUGGUGUCCCGGCGGCCUGUGGCCGUGGGGGCGCCCGGGGGGCGGGGACCCUCCGUGCUGGUAGGCAAGCGUGUUAACAGGGGUGACGCACAGUGGUAGCCUCCGCGGGCCUGAUGGCUUGGCCCGUCCAAGCGCGCAGCCUGUCCCCCAGGCAAAUCCGGGGGGCGGUCCUCCUGCCCGUGGCGGGUGGGGGGGCGGGGGUGAGGCGUGAUGGUGACCCUGCCUGCGGGCGGGGGAAGCAGGGUGAUCCUGGGGUGCCGAGAAAAGCCUCGACGCGAUGGUGCCGGCCGCCCGUACCCUAUACCGACACAGGUGGUCGGGCAGAGCAUGCCUAGGCGCACGAGUGAUUCAUGGUCAAGGAACUCGGCAAAGUGCCCCCGUAACCUCGGGAGAAGGGGGGCCCGGGCCCUGAGGCCCCGUCGCGGGCUAGGGGUGAGGGCCGCAGAGACCAGGGAGAAGCGACUGUUUACUAAAAACACAGGUCCGUGCGAAGCCGCAAGGCGAGGUAUACGGACUGACGCCUGCCCGGUGCUGGAAGGUCAAGAGGAGCCCUCAGCCCCCUCAUUUUUUGGGGGUGAAGGGGCGAGUCCAAGCCCCAGUAAACGGCGGUGGUAACUAUAACCAUCCUAAGGUAGCGAAAUUCCUUGUCGGGUAAGUUCCGACCUGCACGAAUGGCGUAACGACUUCUCCGCUGUCUCGACCAUGAGCUCGGCGAAAUUGCACUACGAGUAAAGAUGCUCGUUUCGCGCAGAAGGACGGAAAGACCCCGGGACCUUUACUGCAGCUUGGUAUUGGCGCCCGCCCCGGCCUGUGCAGGAUAGGUGGGAGACCGUGACCCCCGCGCGCCAGCGCGGUGGCGAGUCGCUGUUGGGAUACCACCCUGGCCGUGGCGUGCGCCUGAACCUCGGUCCGUGACCCGGGCCAGGGACAGUGCCUGGUGGGUAGUUUAACUGGGGCGGUUGCCUCCUAAAGAGUAACGGAGGCGCUCAAGGGUCCCCUCAGCCUGGUCGGCAACCAGGUGUCGAGUGCAAGCGCACAAGGGGGCCUGACUGCGAGACCGACGGGUCGGGCAGGUACGAAAGUAGGAGCUAGUGAUCCGGCGAUCCCGUGCGGGUGGGUCGUCGCUCAACGGAUAAAAGGUACCCCGGGGAUAACAGGCUGAUCCUGCCCAAGAGUCCAUAUCGACGGCAUGGUUUGGCACCUCGAUGUCGGCUCGUCGCAUCCUGGGGCUGGAGCAGGUCCCAAGGGUUGGGCUGUUCGCCCAUUAAAGCGGUACGCGAGCUGGGUUUAGAACGUCGUGAGACAGUUCGGUCCCUAUCCUCUGCGCGCGCAGGAGACCUGAGAGGGCCUGUCCCUAGUACGAGAGGACCGGGACGGACGAACCUCUGGUGUGCCAGUUGUCCCGCCAGGGGCACGGCUGGUUGGCCACGUUCGGGACGGGUAACCGCUGAAGGCAUCUAAGCGGGAAACCAGCCUCAAGACGAGGUCUCCGCCACCCCUCCUGGGGGUGGGAAGGCCCCCAGCAGACCACUGGGUGGAUAGGCCGGAGGUGGAAGCAGGGCAACCUGUUGCGAGCCGACCGGUACUAACAGGCCGACAC